UCUUCGUGGAUGCCGUUGGAAUGUUGCUGCUCCAAAUGUUCCACUGAAUUUAUACGAACUGCAUACUGCGUGACUAAAUUUUGCUCUGUAUACAGAACCUUAUCUCAUUGAAACAUGUCAAAACAGCAACGAAUGUCGAAAAUGUCCAAGUCGAGAUGAAUGACCAAUUUUAAAUGGAGGAUUGUUGACCAUGGACCCUGGGAGCAACUCAUUUUUCAAAUUGUAGACAAGAUUCAGACAGAAAGUAAGACAUAUGGCACUACUUCUGCCAAAAUCCUCCUUGACAAGUUACUUGAAGCAAGGAUUAAAAGCAGAGUCAUCCUGUCAACCUAACAGAAUUAAUUCAUCUUAGAUCUGUAAAUUCAGCCUUGCUUUUCUUUUACGUGGCAUUAGUCAGGAAGACGAUCCAAAAUGUAUUCUGUGUUUUAUGUGAGUGGAUGAGGGGAGGGAGCAACAGAUAAACAGUUGGGGAUUUAAUCCAGGCUGUUCUACUUAGAACGGGAUGAAAUGUACAUUUGUUUUCCAAAGCAUGAGAAAGGACAUUAAUAAUGAUCCCAUGGAUUCUGCUGAAUAACGGGAAGCUACAUAAAAUCCGUCACUUGCACAAACUAAAUUAAUUCACCCAUUGUCUCCAAAGAGUUACCAGUACAAGUGAACAGCACAACCAAAUUAAGAUAUGUUUUACAUAUCUGCAUCAAAUCUGUUUUGCUUCUAUUGCUGUCACCCCCCAAUACAAACCACAAUGUGUGUGUCUGAAGAAUAGUCUACGCAGUAAGAUACUUCGAUAAAGAGUUAAGACAAAGAACAGAAGGAGCAUCUUUACUGGUCUCAAACCCUGAAAGUCUAUGUAUUCCAGAAAUACUUUAUGAAAUGUGUUUGUUUGUGGGAAUAGGUUCAUUGUGAUCUAUUUCACCUGAUAUGUUUUUAUUAUUAAAUCUUCGGUGAACGUUACAGUGAUUUCUAAACAAUGACAACAUUGGAUGAUGCAUUGUAUCAUGAACGUGAUUAUAGUACUCUGCUCUUAGAUAUAGAGAACCGUGUAACAGAUCCUCAAGUCUUAUAUUACAUCUCAAGGGAAUUGAACAUACCUCAGUAUUUAUUUUGUGUGUUUUUAAUAAAUCCUGCACUAGGUUUUAUAAUGCUACAUUUAUUGAUUUGAAUAUCAAUUCUGUGACUUGUUGCCAUAUCUUGUACACCUCAAACAGCUCAAUGCAUAUAACUUGGAAAUGUCUAGUUUCUCACACGUUUUAUGUACUCGCUGUCAAGUUUAAUGAUUCUGUAUUUUUAUCAGAUUUAUCUGAUAAAAAUAAAUGACCAAUUUAUCCUGAGUAUU